rnacentral:rRNA from 1 species
GCGAAGACGGCCUCCUGGGCUGCUCCUGACGCUGAAGGCGAAAGCUAGGGGAGCGCACGGGAUUAGAAACCCCGGUAGUCAUAACUCUAAACGAUGGAUGUUAGCUGUGGGGGGUCUAGAUUCCCGCAGUCCCGCAGUUAACGCACUAAGCAUCCCGCCUGGGGAGUACGGCCGCAAGACUCAAACUCAAACGAAUGGAUCGGGGGCCCGCACAAGCAGCGGAGCGAUGCGUCUAAUUCGAUGCUACACGAAGAACCUUACCUGGGCGUGACAGACAGGUAGUAGUGAAGUGAAAGCGGAUCGAUCCUUCGGGGAGCCUGUACAGGUCCUGCAUGGCGGUCGUCAGCUCGUGCUGUGAGAUCUCGGCUUAAGUCCCGUCACGAGCGCAACCCUUGCUCUUAGUUAUACGUGUCUAAGAGGAUUUCCGGCGGUAAGCCGGAGUAAGGUGGGGAUCACGUCAAGUCAGCAUGGCCAUUAUGUCCAGGGCUACACACACGCUACAAUGUCAGCUACAAUGGCUAGUUAAACCGCGAGAGGAGCUAGUCCGCUAACCCGCUCUCAGUUCGAAUUGCAGUCUGCAACUCGCAUGCAUGAAGUCGGAGUUGACUAGUAAUCGCAGGUCAGCAAUCCUGCGCUGNAUACGUUCCCGGG